rnacentral:rRNA from 1 species
GCACAGUAAGAGCUUGCUCUUAUGGGUGGCGAGUGGCGGACGGGUGAGGAAUACAUCGGAAUCUACCUUUUCGUGGGGGAUAACGUAGGGAAACUUACGCUAAUACCGCAUACGACCUUCGGGUGAAAGCAGGGGACCUUCGGGCCUUGCGCGGAUAGAUGAGCCGAUGUCGGAUUAGCUAGUUGGCGGGGUAAAGGCCCACCAAGGCGACGAUCCGUANNUGGUCCGAGAGGAUGAUCAGCCACACUGGAACUGAGACACGGUCCAGACUCCUACGGGAGGCAGCAGUGGGGAAUAUUGGACAAUGGGCGCAAGCCUGAUCCAGCCAUACCGCGUGGGUGAAGAAGGCCUUCGGGUUGUAAAGCCCUUUUGUUGGGAAAGAAAAGCAGUCGAUUAAUACUCGGUUGUUNCGGNCGGUACCCAA